GGGAAGCCAGGGGCAAAAGGAAGGAGAAAAGAGAUCAUUCGAGGAGCCGCAGCGCCAAGGAGACGACACCCACAAACCAGGGAGCGAGCGCCGCGGACAGCGACGGCACAAGCUCCCACGCGGGGAGACACCACAACAGCAGAACACAGCGGAGGGAGGGCAGCGCCACCACGGGGACCAGGCCGGCCAGCGCGGCAGGCAACAGCACCACCAGAGGGGAAGCGGACAGCCACGCGGACAACCGGGGCCGCAAAGGGAACNGCAGCCCCAAGACGGGCGGAAGAGGGGGCCCCGACAGCCACACGNGCGGCCNAGCAAGAAAACAACCCCAGAGCACCACGGCCCAGCAAAAAGGGGGGCGAAGGGGGGCCGCGCCGCACCGAGCGGCCGCCAAACACCGAGGAGCGAACACCCCGACAAGGCGGCGCGGCAGCGCC
rnacentral:rRNA from 1 species